rnacentral:rRNA from 1 species
UACAGAGGGUGCGAACGUUGUUCGGAAUUACUGGGCAUAAAGCGCGCGUAGGCGGCGACGUAAGUGUCUUGUGAAAUCCCACGGCUCACCCGUGUGAAUUGUGAGGCAUACUGCGUUGCUAGAGUGUGGUAGGGGAGAGCGGAACUCCUGGUGGAGCGGUGAAAUGCGUAGAUAUCAGGAGGAACACCGGUGGCGAAGGCGGCUCUCUGGUCCACUACUGACGCUGAGGUGCGAAAGCUAGGGUAGCGAACGGG